AGUGAACGCUGGCGGUAGGCCUAACACAUGCAAGUCGAACGGCAGCACAGGAGAGCUUGCUCUCUGGGUGGCGAGUGGCGGACGGGUGAGGAAUACAUCGGAAUCUACUCUGUCGUGGGGGAUAACGUAGGGAAACUUACGCUAAUACCGCAUACGACCUACGGGUGAAAGCAGGGGACCUUCGGGCCUUGCGCGAUUGAAUGAGCCGAUGUCGGAUUAGCUAGUUGGCGGGGUAAAGGCCCAACAAGGCGACGAUCCGUAGCUGGUCUGAGAGGAUGAUCAGCCACACUGGAACUGAGACACGGUCCAGACUCCUACGGGAGGCAGCAGUGGGGAAUAUUGGACAAUGGGCGCGAGCCUGAUCCAGCCAUACCGCGUGGGUGAAGAAGGCCUUCGGGUUGUAAAGCCCUUUUGUUGGGAAAGAAAUCCAGCUGGCUAAUACCCGGUUGGGAUGACGGUACCCAAAGAAUAAGCACCGGCUAACUUCGUGCCAGCCGCCGCAGUAA
rnacentral:rRNA from 1 species